CCCGCUUCUCGGCCUUAUGGUUAAGAUCAAAGUGUAGUAUCUGUUCUUAUCAGCUUAACAUCUGUGCAGAUGUACAGGAAGAAACCAAGGGAGUAUACUUU